rnacentral:rRNA from 1 species
GAGUUUGAUUAUGGCUCAGGACGAACGCUGGCGGCGUGCUUAACACAUGCAAGUCGAGCGGUGAUCCUCCUUCGGGAGGUGAUCAGCGGCGAACGGGGUGAGUAACACGUGGGCAACCUGCCCCUCACACUGGGAUAACCUCGGGAAACCGGGGCUAAUACCGGAUACGACCUCGAGCGGCAUCUCUUGAGGUGGAAAGCUCCGACGGUGAGGGAUGGGCCCGCGGCCUAUCAGCUUGUUGGUGGGGUAAUGGCCUACCAAGGCGACGACGGGUAGCCGGCCUGAGAGGGCGACCGGCCACACUGGGACUGAGACACGGCCCAGACUCCUACGGGAGGCAGCAGUGGGGAAUAUUGCGCAAUGGGCGAAAGCCUGACGCAGCGACGCCGCGUGAGGGAUGAAGGCCUCGGUUGUAACCUCUUCUAGCAGGACGAAGCGAAAGUGACGGUACCUGCAGAAGAAGACACCGGC